GACGAACGCUGGCGGCGUGCCUAAUACAUGCAAGUCGAGCGGGGUGCAAUCCGUAGUCUUCGGGCUAUGGGGGGCAUCUAGCGGCGGACGGGUGAGUAACGCGUGGGCAACCUACCCAUGAGUUCGGGAUAACAUCUCGAAAGGGGUGCUAAUACCGGAUGAGCUCAUCUCGGCGCAUGCUGAGGUGAGGAAAGGGUGAUCUGUUGGAAGGCAGGUCAUCUGCUCAUGGAUGGGCCCGCGUCCCAUUAGCUAGUUGGUGAGGUAACGGCUCACCAAGGCGACGAUGGGUAGCCGGCCUGAGAGGGUGGUCGGCCACACUGGGACUGAGACACGGCCCAGACUCCUACGGGAGGCAGCAGUAAGGAAUCUUGGGCAAUGGGCGAAAGCCUGACCCAGCGACGCCGCGUGAGGGAAGAAGGCCUUCGGGUUGUAAACCUCUGUCAUGGGGGAAGAAUUCCCGGGUGCAUGCUCGGGUUGACGGUACCCCAGGAGGAAGCCCCGGCUAACUACGUGCCAGCGGCCGCGGUAAAACGUAGGGGGCGAGCGUUGUCCGGAAUCACUGGGCGUAAAGGGCACGUAGGCGGCCCAUCAAGUCAGGUGUGAAAAGCCACGGCUCAACCGUGGACUUGCACUUGAAACUGGUGGGCUUGAGGGCAGGAGAGGGGAGCGGAAUUCCCGGUGUAGCGGUGAAAUGCGUAGAUAUCGGGAGGAACACCAGUGGCGAAGGCGGCUCCCUGGACUGUUCCUGACGCUGAGGUGCGAAAGCUAGGGGAGCGAACGGGAUUAGAUACCCCGGUAGUCCUAGCCGUAAACGAUGGGCACUAGGUGUGGGAGGUAUCGACCCCUCCCGUGGCGCAGUUAACGCAAUAGGUGCCCCCGCUGGGGAGUACGGCCGCAAAGUUGAAACUCAAAGGAAAUGACGGGGGCCCGCACAAGCAGUGGAGCAUGUGGUUUAAUUCUACGCAACGCGAAGAACCUUACCAGGGCUUGACAUCCCCUGACCGCCGUGGAAACACGGCUUCAAGCGUGAAGCGGACAGGGUGACAGGUGCUGCAUGGUUGUCGUCAGCUCGUGUCGUGAGAGGAUGGGUUAAGUCCCGCAACGAGCGCAACCCCAGUCCCUUGUUUCCAGCGGGUAAUGCCGGGGAGUCAAGCGAGAAAGCCGGUGACAAACCGUAGGAAGGAGGGGAGGAGGUGCAAAUCAUCAUGGCCUUUAUGCCCUGGGCUACACACGUGCUCCAAUGGACGGUACAGCGGAUAGGGAAGGGGUGACCCGGAACCAAUCCCUAAAAGCCAGUCCCAAUUUGGAUUGCAGGCUGCGAACUUGCUUGCAUGGAGGCGGAAUGGGUAGUAAUAGCGGAUCAGCAUGCCGCGGUGAAUUGGGUCCCGGGCCGGGUACACUCCACCCGUCACACCACGAGACUUGGGAAUACCCUAAACCGGUGGGCGUGACCCCCCGGGAGGGGGGGGGCGACCGUCAAAGGUGGGGCCGAUGAUUGGGGUG
rnacentral:rRNA from 1 species